GGUUGAUAUAUAAUGAAAGAUAAGAUAAAUUCGAAUGCCCAUUUUUAAAUAAUUAUGAGCUAUCGGGAGAAAAUUUACUUCUUCUUCAAGAUUUGGUGAAGCGUCGGGCGGCACCAGCAUCGGAUAAUUGGAGUCUUCAUGAGGUGGAUGUACGAGAUUACGCGAAUACAUAUUAAAUUGCCUUGGAAAAGUUAAAAAUAUUGCAACAAAAGGAAUAUGCGUUUUCUACGGACAAUGAAGAAACCAUAAACAGAAGGCAAGAUGUUCUGAAAAAACAAUACCGCUUGAAUAAAGGGCGUUUUGUAAAUCAGAAUAACGUCGAUCAGCAGUUGUCGGAAUGUAACAUAAAUUUAGGCAAUAAGUCGCGCAAUGCUUCAAUGUUUAAUGUCUUAAAGACAGUGAACUUGUGAAGUGUUUAUAUGGUAUAAUGACAACUGAAUCAAUUAAAAAUCCGCAGUUGAGCCCUAUUAAAGAGCAAGCAUUUAACCAAGCCCUCGGGAAGGUUAUAAAUUAUUCCCGUGAUUGGGAGAAUGGGAGAGAUCAUAGGCGGAC